GACAGAGGGGGCAAGCGUUGCUCGGAAUUACUGGGCGUAAAGGGCGCGUAGGCGGGAUGGCAAGUCGGUCGUGAAAUCCCUCGGCUCAACCGAGGAACGUCGAUCGAUACUGCUGUUCUUGAGGAUUGCAGAGGAGACUGGAAUUCCAGGUGUAGCGGUGAAAUGCGUAGAUAUCGGGAGGAAUACCGAUGGCGAAGGCAGGUCUCUGGGCUGACACUGACGCUCAUGCACGAAAAGCGUGGGGGAGCAAACAGG
rnacentral:rRNA from 1 species